UUUGCCAUAGCUGCAACUUCGCGUACUUCGUUUGUGUUCAGCGACCAGACAAAGGCGUCACAGAACUCCACCUUGAUCAAUAAAGCUUUCAUCUUAUAUUCGCAAUAUCCAGAUUGCAAUCUCAGUUUCUUGCUUGUUCUUCGUUUGCUCGCAGGAAACAGACCCUCGUGGUCAGGUUGAUCGUGCUCCGGCGUGGUCGAUAACCUCUCGGAGUUGGUUUAGCGAUUGCUAAGGCGCGACGUCCUCGCACGUUCGUAGUCGGAUCGUCAAAGUCGACUUCCACCAAAGCGAUAUCCAUCAUCUCAUCGAAAGACGGCACACCUUUGCCUCAAUCAAGUGGUAUCAGUUUUCAGGUUGCUCGGUGAGAAUUUCCAGUUUCCCCUAGAUUAGAUUUAUUUUCUUACCUAUUGUCCAAGAAAAAGCCACAAAAAAGUUAGAUCUAUUCAUCCUUUUGUCCAAGCCAGUCUGAGCCUUUGCAAUUUUCUAUUCAUUGUUUGCAUUAUUGAAUUAUCGGUUGCAUCGUCGUGUCGAGUUGCUGGUCUUAGGGUCUAGUUCGUUUAGAGUUUCGAGUUCUGUUCACAUUAGUCACGUCGCCGCUGCAUCGUUAUCCCUUCUGUUGUCCACCACACCAUCCAUCAAAUUCCACCACGUGCUACCCAUAGUUCAUUGUCACAAUCAUAGUUGAGGUCGUUCACAUCUUCGCUUGAUCCAAUCUACAUCUUAUCUAGUUUGUCUUGGAAAGAGGGAGAGAAAAAAGACAGAGAAAAAGAAAGAAAAAGAAGUCAGAAAAAAAAGAGAAAGAAAAAAAGUGUGAGGAAAAAAAAGAGAGAAGAAAAAAAAACAAAAUUCGGAUCUAUCUAGACUCGAUCUCGUAGUUGAAUUCGGAUUGGAAUCUGUUUUGUGCACUGUUUAGUAAAACAGGCAUAACUUCCUCAUACGAAGUCCGUUUUGACUCCGCGAGUACUCAAAUGAGAGCUAGCGACGAGCCGCAUCUAAAUAGUUGCAGAGACUAGUUCAAUAUUUGACACCUCAAAAUCGUCUUCUAAAUAGGUCUUUUUGCCCUCCGAAGUUCGCGGACACAGCUUAUUCCAGUUUUUCAAGCCAGUUUCAGAAUUCUUUGACUCCUCAUAUCAACUCGGAAUUGAGUGAUUCUUUUUGCAUUGGAAAGCUUGAGUUAGUAGCAUUAUUUGAAAAAAAAAAUAUCAGAAAAUUGGCACAAACUUUUCAAGAGGAAAGUUGGAGAGAGUUGUUGUAUAUCCUGCUUGGCAGUUGUUUUUCAUCAUUAUCUUUACUGCCGUUGUGAUCUUCACUUAUAUCUUGCUGUCCAGAGCUACUUAGUAUCCUUCAUUGAUGCUAGUUGUGCUACGCCGUGACCUCAUUAGUGUUCUAGGCUCGCGUCUCUAGUCCGGUCUAGCCUAGGACCAGCACAGUACCGUCGUUGAGCGUUUAUUCAACAUUGCAUCUCUGAAUUGAUUAUUGCUAAUAUUUUGCUACCAUAUAUAGCCAACCCAGCUCCACAUAUUUCUACACCGUGUAUACGUACGUUCCCCUGGCAAUCGCUUUACUCAAUCUUUGGAGUUAUUUGACACCGCUGGUUGCCUGUCACCACCUGCUGCUUGGUAAGAACUUGUAAGAUAUUGAUAUUUGCUUUACUGUGAGUGCUUUACCACCACAUCCUAGUAGUUCAUAGGAACAUUAUUCUUGAAUUUUGUUUCUUGUUUCUACUAAUCAUGACAGGAUCUAGAGUCAAUUCAUGGGGUUUGUCGAUCGUGGGAGAUGUGCCAUCACCUAUGCAAAUACCACAACCGUCACGAGAGGUGCACAAACAUCCAAAUGCACAUGAUCAGGUUAAUGUUUCUAUACCACCAUUUAAUGGCCGUUUUAGACCUGCUUUAUAUAUUGAAUGGGUGUUUGACCUAAAUAAUAUAUUUGCUUCCAAUAAUUUUGAUGUACGUAAAAAAGUUAAGGUUGCGGUUGGUUCUUUCACUGGUUAUGCUGUAGUUUGGUGGAGUGAAUAUUGUCGGUUACACCCUAAUGAUAUACCUACUACUUGGGAUGAUUUGAAACUUGCCAUGCGACAUACAUUCGUUCCCGCUUAUUAUACUCGUGACAUGAUUACAAAGUUGCAACAUUUAAAACAAGGUAGUGACACCGUAACGAAAUAUUAUGAUACUUUACAAACUACCUUGCUGCAUUCCUCUUUAGAAGAAAGUGAAGAAGAUUUUAUGGAUAGAUUUUGGGGAGGAUUAAAUCGUGACAUUCAGGAGAUACUAAUACAUGAAGAGUGUUAUCCUAUGGACCAUUUGUUUCAUCUUGCUUGCAAAGCUGAACAGGAAAUAAAACGACGUGUUGCGCACAAGGAGAACAAGCGCGAGAUGCACAUUCCAAGAGUUGAUACGGUUGUCCCUUCAACUACUAAGCAUACUAUGACAACCUGAUGAGGACAUGACUACCUUGGAUACGACCAAAAAUAUUGCAUACAUGCAUAUUUGUCAGGUGAUUUCUAGUGCAAACUAUUCAAUAAUCUAUUUAUGUUAUCCAGAACAAAAAUACUUCACACACUUUUGUGUUUUGUCUAAUUGCAGGUGUAUGGGACAUUUGUACAAUCCACAUAUGAAGAUAAGGCAAAAGGAGAAGUUUAGGUUCUGUUCAAAAAGUCCUCUCACGUCACUUUUGGGCCAAGAGAAGAUAGAGUCCAAGUCUCUCACGUUCUGGAUUCAGAUUCGGACUGCACAGACAUACCUGACUCAAAACGCCAACAACUUUUUCAUACGGACUCCGAAUUGGGUGAUUCUUUUUUUGUUGGAAACUAGAUUUUGUGCUCUUUCCAACCCAAUUGGAUUCACCUUUAAAUUCGUCCGGAGCAUUGAGUUAUGGUCGAAACAAUCUGACGUUGCACCAGAAUCCGAGUCAAACUACAAGUCCAAAGGUGUUGCAUCACCUCCACUUGGGCCCAUGAGCCUUGUACGACCUAGGGUUGGUUUUAGGCUGCCUUGGGACGUCCUCCCACCUCCUUGGCCGCCACCCCUUGCUCCUAUAUAAGUAGAUCCAUCUAGUAGCUUUUUGCUUGGAAUUUGUUUAGUUAAAAGUUAGCCAUUGCAACUUCGUGUACUUCGUUUGUGUCCAACGACCAGACCAAGACCGCUUACGGAUUCCCACCACUAUCAAUACUUCAUAUAUAUUCGCAAUAUUCAGAUUGCAUUAUCAUAUUCUUGCUCGUUCUUCGAUUGCUUGCAGGAAUAGACCUUCGUGGUCAGGCUGAUCGUGCUUCCGGCAUCGUCAGUAACCUCAGGAGAUUGGUUUAGCGAUUGAUAAGGCGCAACGUCGUGCACGUUUGUAGUCGGAUCGUCAAAGUCGUCUCCACCAAAUCGAUAGUUAUCAUCUCAUCGAAAGAUCGGGACACCCUCGCCUCUAUCAAGUGGUAUCAGUUUUCAGGUUGCUCGGUGAGAAUUUCCAGUUUCUCCUAGAUUAGAUUUAUUUUCUUACCUAUUGUCCAAGAAAAAGCCACAAAAAAGUUAGAUCUAUUCAUCCUUUUGUCCAAGCCAGUCUGAGCCUUUGCAAUUUUCUAUUCAUUGCUUGCAUUAUUGAAUUAUCGGUUGCAUCGUCGUGUCGAGUUGCUGGUCUUAGGGUCUAGUUCGUUUAGAGUUUCGAGUUCUGUUCACAUUAGUCACGUCGCCGCUGCAUCGUUAUCCCUUCUGCUGUCCACCACACCAUCCAUCAAAUUCCACCACGUGCUACCCAUAGUUCAUUGUCACAAUCAUAGUUGAGGUCGUUCACAUCUUCGCUUGAUCCAAUCUGCAUCUUAUCUAGUUUGUCUUGGAAAGAGGGAGAGAAAAAAAAGACAGAGAAAAAAAAGAGAGAAAAAAGAAAGAAAAAGAAGUCAAAAAAAAGAGAAAGAAAAAAAAGUGUGAGGAAAAAAAAGAGAAGAAAA
rnacentral:lncRNA from 1 species